GAUGAACGCUGGCGGCGUGCCUAAUACAUGCAAGUCGAGCGAAUGGAUUAAGAGCUUGCUCUUAUGAAGUUAGCGGCGGACGGGUGAGUAACACGUGGGUAACCUGCCCAUAAGACUGGGAUAACUCCGGGAAACCGGGGCUAAUACCGGAUAACAUUUUGAACCGCAUGGUUCGAAAUUGAAAGGCGGCUUCGGCUGUCACUUAUGGAUGGACCCGCGUCGCAUUAGCUAGUUGGUGAGGUAACGGCUCACCAAGGCAACGAUGCGUAGCCGACCUGAGAGGGUGAUCGGCCAACCUGGGACUGAGACACGGCCCAGACUCCUACGGGAGGCAGCAGUAGGGAAUCUUCCGCAAUGGACGAAAGUCUGACGGAGCAACGCCGCGUGAGUGAUGAAGGCUUUCGGGUCGUAAAACUCUGUUGUUAGGGAAGAACAAGUGCUAGUUGAAUAAGCUGGCACCUUGACGGUACCUAAUCAGAAAGCCACGGCUAACUACGUGCCAGCCGCCGCCGUAA
rnacentral:rRNA from 1 species